CAAGGAGCGAUCAACACGACUUUGCCAUCCUCAGCUCACCUUGUGUACUGACUUACCUCCUCUUUCUCUCUCCCCAAUCUCUUUCUCUUUUUCAACACCUUCGCAGUCUUGGCGGUGCUGCGAGCUAUCCAUUUCCACAGGAUAAGUUAAAGGCGGUCGCACUUCAGCCUGUUUGAAAAGAGAAAGAGAUAGUGUGAGAGAGGAAGAUUAGCCAGUAAACGCAGCUUCUUGCCUGAACAGACGACUUACUAUAACUCGCCAUAUGUCCGGUACUCCUACGUGCAUCCUCGUCGUCGCAUCCUU
rnacentral:lncRNA from 1 species